CACAGAUUCACACCCUGACACACACACACACACUCAAACUCAUACACACACUCACACACUCAUAAUACACAUACACACACUCAUACUCACACUCAUAAACAUACACUUAUACUCACACACACUUAAACUCAUACACACACUCAUACACAUACACACGCUCACACAAAUACAAGUGAUUUUUUAAAUAUCUCCAGCCACCCUCCUGUUAGCUUAC